UCUGAGGCUGGCGGAGCGUGCCAGGAGCAGCCCUGUGAUAGCUGUUUGCUGCUAACCUGCAACACUACCCUGAGCUGCUCCUGGCUCCAUCCCACGUCAA
rnacentral:pre_miRNA from 1 species